rnacentral:rRNA from 1 species
AUUGAACGCUGGCGGCGUGCUUAACACAUGCAAGUCGAUCGGUAACAGGUGUAGCAAUACAUGCUGACGAGAGGCGGACGGGUGAGUAAUGCUUGGGAAUCUGCCUAUUAGUGGGGGACAACCCGGGGAAACUCGGGCUAAUACCGCAUACGCUCUACGGAGGAAAGCCGGGGACCGCAAGGCCUGGCGCUAAUAGAUGAGCCCAAGUCGGAUUAGCUAGUUGGUAGGGAACGGCCUACCAAGGCGACAAUCCGUAGCUGGUCUGAGAGGACGACCAGCCACACCGGAACUGAGACACGGUCCGGACUCCUACGGGAGGCAGCAGUGGGGAAUAUUGGACAAUGGGGCAACCCUGAUCCAGCGACGCCGCGUGGGUGAAGAAGGCCUGCGGGUUGUAAAGCCCGUUUCGGUGGGGAAGAAAAGUCUCGACCUAAUACGUCGGGACCUUGACGUAACCCACUAAAGAAGCACCGGCUAACUCUGUGCC